AAACUUUGUAAAAAAAAAAAAAUAACUCAAAAGACAUCGACAAUUCGACAUAAACAAAGAAAAAAACAAAAGGGGGAUUAGGGUUUCUUCGAAAAGAUUAUGACCCUAGCAGUCGGGUAUUCUCUACAUGAGUUAUCAGAUUCACGAACCCAGUAUAAGAUCACAGUUUGGUAGCCGCGACUUUAUGCUCUCUCUGGUUGAAUGAUUUGCCUCCCAACAGGCCGUAUAUAGCCAACAAACAAAGUCAGAACUCUAUCACAGGUUUAUUAUUUGGAAAAGCUUGUAAUCAUGUGUGGUAGAGACCACGCCGAGCAUCUUUUUGUAAUUAUUCUAGUUAUGAGAGGGUAAAUUUAAAAAGGGACCGAAGAGAGCUGUGAAACUGACACAUCAACAUAAUGGCAGCACCGUAAAUACAUUACAAAAUAAAGGUACAAUACUCCCAUGCUGCCUCAUCUUCAUUUAAAGAUGAAGAAGCCAAGUUGGUGCCAUGAGGCAUGUGCCCUGACCUAUGGUCUUUACUGAACUGAGCUUAGAUGGUUGUUUCAAAUCCAAGAAAACCAGAAUGAGCAAGUUAUCACUUUGGAAGGGAACUAUGAAAGCUUAAACAUUUGUCAAUAAAGUUUGGUUUCCGGAUCGUAUGAUAGAAAGUGAAUUAAUGGUCAAGUUUCACAAAUUCUUUCGGCAGAGAUUUAGGUCAUCUCUGAGUUCUCUUAGGCUGCUAUACGUUUCAGUUGCAUAUGAGAUCAAGAGCAUAUCUCAAAAUGCAUGAAUUUUGUCCGCUUAGAAUGGGUAACUUUUGUUGUUUCCUUCAUUUUUAUGUGUCUUGUACUACAUUGAAAGCAUUGUAAUUCUUCUUUCUUUUGUCUA